AGAGUUUGAUCCUGGCUCAGGAUGAACGCUAGCGACAGGCUUAACACAUGCAAGUCGAGGGGCAGCGGGGGAGCAGCAAUGCUCCUGCCGGCGACCGGCGCACGGGUGAGUAACACGUAUGGAACCUGCCCGCAGCAGGGGGAUAAGCGGAAGAAAUUCCGUCUAAUACCGCGUAACACCGCGGAGGGGCAUCCCUCGGCGGUUAAAGAUUCAUCGGCUGCGGAUGGCCAUGCGGCGCAUCAGCUAGUCGGCGGGGUAACGGCCCACCGAGGCGACGAUGCGUAGGGGUUCUGAGAGGAAGGUCCCCCACACUGGUACUGAGACACGGACCAGACUCCUACGGGAGGCAGCAGUGAGGAAUAUUGGUCAAUGGCCGGGAGGCUGAACCAGCCAAGUCGCGUGAGGGAAGACGGCCCUACGGGUUGUAAACCUCUUUUGUCAGGGAGCAAGAGGCGGGUCGGGGCCUGCUGUGAGAGUACCUGAAGAAAAAGCAUCGGCUAACUCCGUGCCAGCAGCCGCGGUAAUACGGAGGAUGCGAGCGUUAUCCGGAUUUAUUGGGUUUAAAGGGUGCGCAGGCGGAGGCACAAGUCAGCGGUAAAAUCGCGGGGCUCAACCCCGCUCCGCCGUUGAAACUGUGUCCCUUGAGUGCGCGAAGGGUAGGCGGAAUGCGUGGUGUAGCGGUGAAAUGCAUAGAUAUCACGCAGAACUCCGAUCGCGAAGGCAGCCUACCGGCGCGCGACUGACGCUCAUGCACGAAAGCGUGGGUAUCGAACAGGAUUAGAUACCCUGGUAGUCCACGCAGUAAACGAUGAAUGCUAUCUGUCCGGCCGGAAUGACGGCUGGGUGGCACAGCGAAAGCGUUAAGCAUUCCACCUGGGGAGUACGCCGGCAACGGUGAAACUCAAAGGAAUUGACGGGGGCCCGCACAAGCGGAGGAACAUGUGGUUUAAUUCGAUGAUACGCAAGGAACCUUACCCGGGCUCAAACGACUCAGGAAUAUAUUGGAAACGAUGUAGCCAGCAAUGGUCUGAGUCGAGGUGCUGCAUGGUUGUCGUCAGCUCGUGCCGUGAGGUGUCGGCUUAAGUGCCAUAACGAGCGCAACCCCUACCGCCAGUUGCCAACGGGUAAAGCCGGGAACUCUGGCGGGACUGCCGGCGCAAGCUGUGAGGAAGGCGGGGAUGACGUCAAAUCAGCACGGCCCUUACGUCCGGGGCGACACACGUGUUGCAAUGGCAGGUACAGCGGGAAGCCACCUGGUGACAGGGAGCGGAACCCGAAAGCCUGUCUCAGUUCGGAUUGGAGUCUGCAACUCGACUCCAUGAAGCUGGAAUCGCUAGUAAUCGCGCAUCAGCCAUGGCGCGGUGAAUACGUUCCCGGGCCUUGCACACACCGCCCGUCA
rnacentral:rRNA from 1 species